rnacentral:rRNA from 1 species
AAUAUCAUUGCAAUGCAUCUUUGCUACCUAUAAUUUUACUUGGGAAGAGUGCGAGAAAUUAAGCAUUACUAUGAAAAAUAAUUUUAACAUUCAUUGUAAUGUUCAUAAAAGUACAAUGCGGGGAAAAACAUAUAAUCGUUUAUAUGUUCUUUCUAAAAGUACGCAUAAAUUUAUGAAAUUGGUUUCUCCAUACAUACUUCCAUGUUUUAACUAUAAAGUAAAAUUAUAGAAAAUCAUUAUAUAGGUCACCAGCAGCCGCGGUAAAACGUAGGGUGCAAGCGUUAUCCGGAAUUAUUGGGCGUAAAGAGUUCGUAGGCGGUUUUAAAAGUCAUUUGUCAAAGCCCAAGGCUUAACUUUGGAAAGGCAAGUGAUACUGUAAAACUAGUGUAUAGUUGAGGAUGUUGGAAUGUCUGGUGGAGGGGUGAAAUCCGUUGAGAUCAGACAGAACACCGAGGGCGAAGGCAGACAUCUAGGCUAUUACAGACGCUAAGGAACGAAAGCUAGGGUAGCAAAACGGAUUAGAGACCCGUGUAGUCCUAUGCCGUAAACGAUCCCCACUAGUUUCCCCGGUGUUACACCGGGGGGACGUAAGCUAACGCGUUAAGUGGGGCGCCUGGGAAGUACGGCCGCAAGGUUAAAACUCAAAGGAAUUGACGGGGAGGCGCACAACCAGUGGAGCAUGUGGUUCAAUUCGAUACAAAGCGUAGAACCUUACCUGGGUUUGACAUUCCGCUGCACGUCCGCCGAAAGGCGGAAAGCCUAAGAGGGUGCGGAACAGCCGCUGCAUGGUUGUCGUCAGCUCGUGUCGUGAGAUGUCCGCUUAAGUGCGGUAACGAGCGCAACCCUUGUCCUAUGUUGUAUUUUCAUAGGAGACUGCCUCGAUUAAAUCGAGGGCGAAGGAGAGGAUGACGUCAAAUCAGCAUGGUGCUUACAUCCAGGGCGACACACAUCCUACAAUGGCUAGAACAAUGGGCUUGCCAAGCCGUAAGGCGGAGCUAAUCCCUGAAAACUAGCCUCAGUUCAGAUUGU